AGGAAUAUUGGUCAAUGGCCGGAAGGCUGAACCAGCCAAGCCGCGUGAGGGAAGACGGCCCUACGGGUUGUAAACCUCUUUAGCCGGGGAACAAGGCGCGGGACGCGUCCCGCCGUGAGCGUACCCGGAGAAUAAGCAUCGGCUAACUCCGUGCCAGCAGCCGCGGUAAUACGGAGGAUGCGAUCGUUAUCCGGAUUUAUUGGGUUUAAAGGGUGCGUAGGCGGGCUUUUAAGUCAGCGGUAAAAAUUCGGGGCUCAACCCCGUCCGGCCGUUGAAACUGGGGGCCUUGAGUGGGCGAGAAGAAGGCGGAAUGCGUGGUGUAGCGGUGAAAUGCAUAGAUAUCACGCAGAACCCCGAUUGCGAAGGCAGCCUUCCGGCGCCCUACUGACGCUGAGGCACGAAAGUGCGGGGAUCGAACAGG
rnacentral:rRNA from 1 species